rnacentral:rRNA from 1 species
GACGAACGCUGGCGGCGUGCUUAACACAUGCAAGUCGAACGGAAAGGCCCCUUUGGGGGUACUCGAGUGGCGAACGGGUAAGUAACACGUGAGUAACCUGCCCUUGACUUCGGGAUAACUUCAGGAAACUGGGGCUAAUACCGGAUAGGAAUCCUUGCUGCAUGGUGGGGGUUGGAAAGCUUCGGCGGUUUUGGAUGGACUCGCGGCUUAUCAGCUUGUUGGUGGGGUAGUGGCUUACCAAGGCUUUGACGGGUAGCCGGCCUGAGAGGGCGACCGGCCACAUUGGGACUGAGAUACGGCCCAGACUCCUACGGGAGGCAGCAGUGGGGAAUAUUGCACAAUGGGCGGAAGCCUGAUGCAGCAACGCCGCGUGCGGGAUGACGGCCUUCGGGUUGUAAACCGCUUUCAGCAGGGGCGAAGCUUGUGGUGACGGUACCUGCAGAAGAAGCACCGGCUAACUACGUG